CAAUAGCGUAUAUUAAAGUUGUUGCAGUUAAAAAGCUCGUAGUUGAAUUUUUGCUUGCCGCCGAUGUCGGAACUUCCGUACGUUCGGCGGCGUGCAUCCUUGGGUGGAACCUGUGUGGCAUUAGGUUGUCGUGCAGGGGAUGCUCGUCGUUUACUGUGAAAAAAUUAGAGUGUUCAAAGCAGGCUUACGCCGUUGAAUAUAUUAGCAUGGAAUAAUAAGAUAGGACCUUGGUACUAUUUUGUUGGUUUGCGCACCGAGGUAAUGAUUAACAGGGACAGUUGGGGGUAUUCGUAUUCCAUUGUCAGAGGUGAAAUUCUUGGAUUUCUGGAAGACGAACUACUGCGAAAGCAUUUACCAAGGAUGUUUUCAUUAA
rnacentral:rRNA from 1 species